UACGUAGGGGGCAAGCGUUAUCCGGAUUUACUGGGUGUAAAGGGGGCGCAGACGGCGAUGCAAGCCAGGAGUGAAAGCCCGGGGCCCAACCCCGGGACUGCUCUUGGAACUGCGUGGCUGGAGUGCAGGAGGGGCAGGCGGAAUUCCUGGUGUAGCGGUGAAAUGCGUAGAUAUCAGGAGGAACACCGGUGGCGAAGGCGGCCUGCUGGACUGCAACUGACGUUGAGGCCCGAAAGCGUGGGGAGCAAUCAGG
rnacentral:rRNA from 1 species